rnacentral:rRNA from 1 species
AUACGUAGGUGGCAAGCGUUGUCCGGAAUUAUUGGGCGUAAAGCGCGCGCAGGCGGUCCUUUAAGUCUGAUGUGAAAGCCCACGGCUCAACCGUGGAGGGUCAUUGGAAACUGGGGGACUUGAGUGCAGGAGAGAAGAGUGGAAUUCCACGUGUAGCGGUGAAAUGCGUAGAGAUGUGGAGGAACACCAGUGGCGAAGGCGACUCUUUGGCCUGUAACUGACGCUGAGGCGCGAAAGCGUGGGGAGCAAACAGGAUUAGAUACCCUGGUAGUCCACGCCGUAAACGAUGAGUGCUAAGUGUUAGAGGGUUUCCGCCCUUUAGUGCUGCAGUAAACGCAUUAAGCACUCCGCCUGGGGAGUACGGCCGCAAGGCUGAA